rnacentral:rRNA from 1 species
UACGUAGGGUGCGAGCGUUUGUCCGGAAUUACUGGGCGUAAAGAGCUCGUAGGUGGUUUGUCGCGUUGUUCGUGAAAACUCACAGCUUAACUGUGGGCGUGCGGGCGAUACGGGCAGAGUGGAGUACUGCAGGGGAGACUGGAAUUCCUGGUGUAGCGGUGAAAUGCGCAGAUAUCAGGAGGAACACCAAUGGCGAAGGCAGCUCGCUGGAACGGUACUGACGCUGAGGCGCGAAAGCGUGGGGAGCGAACAGG